UGGGGUGGCCAAAACAUUUGUUUGGAUUUUUCCGUAAGAGAGUAACCCAAAAACCUGAACAAGCUUUUUGGCCAGCCCAG
rnacentral:miRNA from 1 species